GCCUUCGUGGUAUAACGGUAGCACAGUCGGCUUGUGUUCGAGAGUUCCAGAUUUGAGUCCCGGCAAGGGCA
rnacentral:tRNA from 1 species